rnacentral:rRNA from 1 species
UGGGGAAUCAUGGUCAAUGGGCGAAAGCCUGAACCUGCGACGCCGCGUGAGUGAUGAAGGUCGUACGAUCGUAAAACUCUUUUCAGGGAUCUUAAAGCACAACCGUCAACAACGGCUGUGUGUGACUCUCCCUGGAAGAAGCCCCAGCCAACUACGUGCCAGCAGCUGCGGUAAUACGUAGGGGGCGAGCGUUAUUCGGAAUUCCUGGGUGUAAAGGGUAUGUAGGCGGCCCUUCAAGUCGCGUGUCAAAGUCCAGUGCUCAACGCUGGGGGGGCGC